ensembl:lncRNA
AUGUUGUUUAAUCUCCAGAAAGAAAUUCUUAUCUUUGUUUCAUUCUUUUGUUUUUCCAAUUUAGAAAAAAACAAAGAUGGAACUCAUGUGGUCACAAGAAAUCCUUCUUUUUUAAACAAUAAAGGACAACUGGAUAAGAAAGUCAAGAGUGGUCAAUUGGAAGAACAUACCGAGGCCACACAGCCUGAUCUGCAAACACAGAUUCCUUCUAAAGGACCAGAAUCAGAGAAAAUGGAGGAUGAAGAAGCAAAGUCUGCUGAUGAAAGUUCGACCCAGAUCAUACCGCACAAGCCACCUGCUGAAGAACAAAAGCAAGAUGUAAUCUCAGAUCAGGACACUGAAAAAACUAUAGAGGAAACUGAAAAGGAAAAAGAAGAAAAGAAAUCAGAUGGCAUGAGAGAAAAAGGAGAGCUACCAACAAGUUCUGGUCAGACAGACUCAGAGGAAGAGACAGAUGAGGAAGCACAUCCUGCCACUAAAACUAGUAUUUUUCCUUCCCCUGAUGACGUGAGAGAAGAGGACGAGUCUCCCACCACUCCUACACAGACAGAAAAAAACAAAGAUGGAACUCAUGUGGUCACAAGAAAUCCUUCUUUUUUAAACAAUAAAGGACAACUGGAUAAGAAAGUCAAGAGUGGUCAAUUGGAAGAACAUACCGAGGCCACACAGCCUGAUCUGCAAACACAGAUUCCUUCUAAAGGACCAGGUUUGAAAAUUAAACUAUGCCAGUUAGAUUCAGAAUAA